AUUGAACGCUGGCGGAAUGCUUUACACAUGCAAGUCGAACGGUAGAGGGGGCAACCCCUCGAGAGUGGCGAACGGGUGAGUAAUAUAUCGGAACGUGCCCAGUCGUGGGGGAUAACGUAGCGAAAGUUACGCUAAUACCGCAUACGAUCUAAGGAUGGAAGCGGGGGAUCGCAAGACCUCGCGCGAUUGGAGCGGCCGAUAUCAGAUUAGGUAGUUGGUGGGGUAAAGGCUCACCAAGCCAACGAGAUGUAGCUGGUCUGCGAGGACGACCAGCCACACUGGAACUGAGACACGGUCCAGACUCCUCCGGGAGCCAGCAGUGGGGAAUUUUGGACAAUGGACGCAAGUCUGAUCCAGCCAUUCCGCGUGCAGGAUGAAGGCCCUCGGGUUGUAAACUGCUUUUGUACGGAACGAAAAGGUCUCUCUUAAUACGGGGGACUCAUGACGGUACCGUAAGAAUAAGCACCGGCUAACUACGUGCCAGCCGCCGCGGUAA
rnacentral:rRNA from 1 species